rnacentral:sRNA from 1 species
GUACUAUUAGUAUUAGUAGUAUGAUAGAUCUAAUUGAUAAUAAUAGCUUAAUUGCCUUAAUUUAUUACAAUUAUGAUUAGGCCUAAUUUAUUUUACUUCUCUGUUUACUGUUUAAAUUUAAGACAUUUAAGUUCUAAAGACACGAAGGUUAAAUCUAGAUUUCCAGAUGUCUCUAGAUCUACUAGAUCUAUGACUAUGAUACUAUGUCUAUGUCUUUACUAUGUGAACCAUGUGGACUAUGAUAAAAGUUAGUAGCUACUAUAGCUGUAGCUAAAAGAUCCAUUGCAGCUUUUUGGUCUACUCUAUAGGCUAGGACCCAACAGGACUCAAAGUCAAAGAUCAACAAAAAGUCAAUUGUUGAGACAUAAGAGUGAAACUUUGUUCAGAAACUGGUAGACAUAGCAUUACCUGCUGACAUGAUGUGUCUGGGUUACGUGCUCUUGGAUAAUCGUAUUUCACCUUAGGAAGACUGCUCCUCUACAAUCAGAAAUACAACAUGUUUUUAUGACCAAGAUAAAGACAAGGGCUUUGUUUGCCAUAUACUAGUACUUGAACUUCCCACCAUAAA